rnacentral:lncRNA from 1 species
GUCUUUUUUGGUUACCUCAUUAAGCUUUCGAUAGUCUUCCAUCUGUUUUCAACCCUCAUGGGCACUAUCUCACAUUUGUCAUUCUCAACAAUUAUCAUGUCAGUCCUUUUGGAUACACAACAUGAAUAAGACUUACACAUGUACUGCAGGAACGAGGUAGAUUAUUCUGGUCUCACGAAGCUUUAUGAUUUGCUUGAGUACAACCUCUUUCAUUGUAGGACUGAGUCUCCUUUAUGCUUGUGUGAUAGCUUUAGCUCCUUCCUCUAAAGUGAUUUUAU